ACAAAAAAAUACCAAAAAAAUACAGUAAGGAGGAACAUAAAUUUUGAAGA
rnacentral:sRNA from 1 species